rnacentral:misc_RNA from 1 species
GGAAGGAUCAUUAACGAAUCUAAAGUCGAUGCGUUGUGCUGGUGGCAACACAUGUGCACGCGUGUCGCAUACAUCCACACACCUGUGAACCCUAGACUCUGUGGUCGAUCGAACGCCCGGACUCGUCCAUCGCGUGUGGGGACUUUAUGUCCUCCGUUCGCCCAGGGUAAUUUUUACAUACGCCGAAUGUGAUAGAAUGUAUCUGUGCAUAACGCGCAACUAUACAACUUUCAACAACGGAUCUCUUGGCUCUCGCAUCGAUGAAGAACGCAGCGAAAUGCGAUAAGUAAUGUGAAUUGCAGAAUUCAGUGAAUCAUCGAAUCUUUGAACGCACCUUGCGCCCUUUGGUAUUCCGAAGGGCACGCCCGUUUGAGUGUCAUUGUAAUCUCACCUCCACGGUUUCUCAUCGUGGUUGUGGAUCUGGACGUCGUCGGCUCGUCGACCCGUCUGAAAUGUAUGAGCGUACCCUGCCGUGCAGCGUAUCUGGUGUGAUAAGCAUCUUCACCGGAGUAAUGCCUCCUUUGGCGCGUCUGUGGUGUGGGCUCUGCGCUUCCAAUCGUCCUCACAGGACAAUCUUUGACGAUUUGACCUCAGAUCGGGCGGGACUACCCGCUGAACUUAAGCAUAUCAAUAAGCGGAGGAAAAGAAACUAACAAGGAUUCCCCUAGUAGCGGCGAGUGAAGAGGGAAAAGCUCAAAUUUUGAAUCUGGCGUCUUCGACGUCCGAGUUGUAAUCUAGAGAAGUGUUUUCCGUGCCGGACCGUACAAAAGUCUCCUGGAACGGGGCGUCAUAGAGGGUGAGAAUCCCGUAUAUGGUAUGGACUCCCGGUGCUCUGUGAUACACUCUCAACGAGUCGAGUUGUUUGGGAAUGCAGCUCAAAAUGGGUGGUAAAUUCCAUCUAAAGCUAAAUAUUGGCGAGAGACCGAUAGCGAACAAGUACCGUGAGGGAAAGAUGAAAAGCACUUUGGAAAGAGAGUGAAACAGUACGUGAAAUUGUUGAAAGGGAAGCGUUUGAGGUCAGUCGCAUCUUGCGGAACUCAGCCUGGCUUCUGCCUGGUGUACUUUCCGUAGGAUGGGUCAGCGUCAGUUUCGACUGGAGGAGAAAGGCUUGGGGGAGGUGGCUGUCUUCGGACAGUGUUAUAACCCCUCGUUGUAUACUUCAGUUGGGACUGAGGAACGCAGCGCGCCUUUUGGCCGGGGUUCGCGCCCUCGGUACGCGCUUAGGAUGCUGGCAUAAUGGCCUUAAGCGACCCGUCUUGAAACACGGACCAAGGAGUCUAACAUGCCUGCGAGUGUUUGGGUGUCAAACCCGAGCGCGAAAUGAAAGUGAAAGGUUGGGAUCAUGUACUUGUGCACCAACGCCCGGAGCAGACCUUCUGUGACGCAUCUGCGGCAGAGCAUGUAUGUUGGGACCCGAAAGAUGGUGAACUAUGCCUGAAUAGGGUGAAGCCAGAGGAAACUCUGGUGGAGGCUCGUAGCGAUUCUGACGUGCAAAUCGAUCGUCAAAUUUGGGUAUAGGGGCGAAAGACUAAUCGAACCAUCUAGUAGCUGGUUCCUGC